AUUGAACGCUGGCGGCAGGCCUAACACAUGCAAGUCGAGCGGCUGAAGGGAGCUUGCUCCUGGAUUCAGCGGCGGAUGGGUGAGUAAUGCCUCGGAAUCUGCCUGGUAGUGGGGGAUAACGUCCGGAAACGGGCGCUAAUACCGCAUACGUCCUGAGGGAGAAAGUGGGGGAUCUUCGGACCUCACGCUAUCAGAUGAGCCUAGGUCGGAUUAGCUAGUUGGUGGGGUAAAGGCCUACCAAGGCGACGAUCCGUAACUGGUCUGAGAGGAUGAUCAGUCACACUGGAACUGAGACACGGUCCAGACUCCUACGGGAGGCAGCAGUGGGGAAUAUUGGACAAUGGGCGAAAGCCUGAUCCAGCCAUGCCGCGUGUGGGAAGAAGGUCUUCGGAUUGUAAAGCACUUUAAGUUGGGAGGAAGGGCAGUAAGUUAAUACCUUGCUGUUAUGACGUUACCAACAGAAUAAGCACCGGCUAACUUCGUG
rnacentral:rRNA from 1 species